rnacentral:rRNA from 1 species
AGCGAACGCUGGCGGCAGGCUUAACACAUGCAAGUCGAGCGGACCUUUCGGGGUCAGCGGCGGACGGGUGAGUAACGCGUGGGAACGUGCCUUCCGGUUCGGAAUAACCCUGGGAAACUAGUGCUAAUACCGGAUACGCCCUUAUGGGGAAAGGUUUACUGCCGGAAGAUCUGCCCGCGUCUGAAUAGCUAGUUGGUGGGGUAACGGCCUACCAAGGCGACGAUCAGUAGCUGGUCUGAGAGGCUGAUCAGCCACACUGGCACUGAGACACGGCACAGACUCCUCCGGGAGGCAGCCGUGGGGAAUAUUGCAAAACCGGCGCAAGCAUGAUCCAGCCCUGCCGCGUGAGUGAUGAAGGCCUUAGGGUUGUAAAGCUCUUUUAUCCGGGACGAUAAUGACGGUACCGGAGGAAUAAGCCACGGCUAACUUCGUG